rnacentral:lncRNA from 1 species
CUGAGCAUCUUCGACCCGCAGGGCUACCUGGCUGCUAAUAGCGUAGACGUGGCGGGCCUGGGGGUUCCUGUUCGCCUAGCUCACAGCGCCACGCCGACUACACAGCACCGAAGGGCCCCGAAGGCAACCCGGAAGUUUUGGAGAAAAGGAAAUGACACUCCCUUCAUACCUGGGAAGACGAACCACUUGCCCGAUGUGCACAAAGGGUCUCUCUCUGUUGCCCAGGCUGGAGUGCAGUGGUACAAUCAAGGCUCACUGCAGCCUUGACCUCUCAGGCCCAAGUGAUCUCCUCCCAAGUAGCUGG